AGCUGAUCUCCUCGGAUUAGUGGUCUGUGCAUAUGUCUUUGUGAUUAUUCUGACAAUAAUCGUGGCGGUGCUUCUUUUUCACGAACACAGCAAUACGAAAUGCAAAGUACCAGCAUGUGUUAUGGCCGCCGUAUUGAUCUUCAUUUCUUUGCUGUUCAUCAUUCUACUGUUUGUGCUGCAUGAAGCUUGCUCAGAUGCCAAAUGUAUUGUCGCUGUCAUAAUCUGUAUCCUCGGACUUAUCGUGGGAAUAGUAGCAAUGGGACGCCUAUUCAGGGAAAAGAUAAGACAAUGUUGCUGCUCCACACCCAGUGUCUGAAACUCGGCAGAGUAAACUGAGAGCCCAAGCUCUGUAGGCCCAAGCAUUUUAGCUGAAGCAGGGAGCCAUACUCAUAUAUUACACACAACCAGUCAACAUAAAGUCUUGACUGCUAUCACACCGAGUUCCCAGAGACUCUGGUGAUAAAA